GCCAGGCGUGGUGGCGCAUGCCUGUAGUCCCAGCUACUUGGGAGGCUGAGACAGGAGAAUCGCUUGAACCCAGGAGACGGAGGUUGCAGUGAGCUGAGAUUGUGCCACUGCACGCCAGCCUGGGUGAUUGAGUGAGACUCUGUCUCAA
ensembl:misc_RNA Metazoa_SRP Metazoan signal recognition particle RNA